rnacentral:rRNA from 1 species
CACGUAAGGUGCGAGCGUUGUUCGGAAUCAUUGGGCGUAAAGGGCAUGUAGGCGGAACUGCAAGUCUGGUGUGAAAUGCCGUGGCUUAACCACGGAACUGCGCCGGAAACUGUAGAACUAGAAUCGCCGCGGGGGAGCCGGAAUUCCAGGUGUAGGGGUGAAAUCUGUAGAUAUCUGGAAGAACACCGAUAGCGAAGGCAGGCUUCCAGCGGACGAUUGACGCUGAGGUGCGAAGGUGCGGGGAGCAAAC